GAAACGGAAUCGGACUUCUUCAAGGCGCGGAUCCUAAAGUUGUUUGGAUCGCAGAGUGACGCGGAAACCCAGUGACAGUAAGCGGGUGCUAGUACCUCCGACGAGAUGAGGGACUGCCCGGGAGGGCUGGAGGAAGCUUGUAUGAGACAGCUGGCCCGAGCGCGAACCAGGCCAAUCAACGUGCUGGCCCGAGCCCGGCCCGGGCCCACAGUCAAAAGUCCGAGCCCAUCCCAGGCCUGGGCUUUCGGCUCAGCAAAGUCUGCGGAUCUGGUUAUGCUUCCUGUACGAGACAGAUCA